rnacentral:tRNA from 1 species
GAGGGUAGAGCUCAGUGGUAAAGCCUGUGCUCACCAUGCACAAGGUCCUGGGUUCAAUCCCCAAUACCACCC